GACAAACAUCCGUUUGCGGCCCAGGAGGUUUAUCUGGGCCCUCCAUCUUGACUUCAACAUUGGAAGCCUUCAGUCAAAAGUGCGUUCGUCAUUCAUUACCCACCCCAAGAUUUCUCUUGUCUUUACUGGAGUCUUGAUUCUAGCCACUUGUUCUUAUUGCCUGCCCUGAUGUGAUCGCCCACAAAUGAGCAUCGUGCCCUAAGUCUUCUACCAGAAGCCAAUCCUAAAAGGGAAAGAAGAGGUGGGCGGGAGAUACCUGAGGAAAAUGGACACAGAUCCUUCUGGACAGAGAAGUCUGACCUGUUGAUGCCAGAGUCCCAUACUGUCCAAACAAAGGGGCUUAUGGUCUUCUAAGCAUUUUGUGGUGAAACAUGGAGCCCAUCAAUACGACCACCCUGCCAAACGCCUCAAACACAGAACAAGGCCACUGCAAGGGGCACUGCAGGAUGAUUCUGGUAACACUCUACAGCGUUGUUUUGCUUGGAGGCACUACCGGGACAGUAUUGAUGUCACGUAUGAUGUGCAAAAGGAAAAGCCAGUCAAUGAUUGCCAUGAUUGUUCUCAAUAUCAUAGUGCUACACUCAAUCCUCCUGGUCAGCCUCCCACUCCGCCUCAGCUAUUAUAUCUUAGAGGUCUGGGAGUUCGGAUCCUUUCUUUGCCGACUGGUCAGCUGCAUAAUAUACGGUUAUAUGUACUUCACCUUUGUUUUCUAUGUGGCCAUUGUCAUACUCCGAUUGCUCAUCUAUUUUAAGAAACUCCAAAUGCAACAGUUGCAAAAGUACCACAUGGUAGUUUUAAGCAUUGUUAUUUGGACCAUGGGUAGCCUUGUUUUUUGGCCGAUAUUACUUUUACAAUAUGGCGUACAUCCAGGUUACUCAGAACAAGGACGAUGCUUUGAGUUCUACAAAGAUCUCAACCGCUGGGAACUCAUUAUCUUGAACUAUGCUAUGAUUGUCAUUAUGAUUUCAACGGUUGUGAUACUCUUUCUGAUACAGAUGGGUGUUAUCGUUCAACUGAUAAAAGCUCUCUGGCCUGCCAUGUGGGCACAUCAAGACUAUAGAGCUCAAAUCAAGAGCUGCUUCUUCCUCCUAGUCAUAGUGGUCUGUUUUAUACCUCACCAUGUAUUCCGGGUGCAUUUUAUUCAAAAUUACUCAGAGAUAGACAAAUCUGAGUUAGUUCUUUAUAAUGAAAUUUUUGUUGCUUUGACUACUGUCUGUUGCCUGGAUAUGGUGUGUUUCAUAGGUGGGGUUAUCCAUUAAAAAUACUCCUUGUCAUUCACUUUGUAAUCAGUUUUUUACCACUGUGACAAAAUAGUUUCAAAUGAAUGGCUGCUACCAUGAUUUCAAAAUUUUUCAAAUUCCCCACUGUUGAUUGUCACCGGAAUUAUUUUUCCAUGAAAAGGUAACAAAGACUGAUCGUUCCCCUCUUCCUGGAUGAUCUGUUCUCCAUUAACUGUAGAAUGUGUUCCAUUUCCAUAGCUCUACUCGAGUUGACCCCAAACAUCCUUUCCAGACUCAACUGCUGCCUCUUUUUCAUGCAAUGCUUACUCCUGCUUAGCACAACUACUGCCUUUCCUAUGCAACAAUCAGCCUGGUCUCUUUGCAUUUGCUCUUGCUGAGCUUUGAUCCUAGCAUGUUCUCCCCCUCUACCUACAAACUAUCUAAUCUUCAAGGUCCAGAGAAUUUGAAGAUAUGGACUCUUAUCACCCUAAUAAGCCUUAACUUAUUCAACUUAUGCUCAACCUGAGAUACAUACCUCUUGAAAAUGACUGAUAGCCAGGGAAGUGAUGGCUGCUGGCUGUGGUUAUUUGGAGGAAAGAACUAGCUUCGAUAGUCAAUAGACUUGACUUUUGGGAGGAAACCCUUCCAGGAUUACUGGAGCGUUAAUAUGGUUUGAUUCUGACUAAGACUUAGUAGGUACUCAGGAAAUAGAGAAUGCCUCCCAGAUCGAUGUUUCCAGACAUGCAUUCAUGGAGCAGGAAAAUAAAUUGGAAAAGGUAGAAAUCAGCCGGUCUUAGUUGAAGCAUGCUAUAUUAGACUAUAUUAGACCAUAUUAGAGCCCAAACUUUUGAGAGUGUGGGACUGUUAUUAAGCUUGUUCAAGGUACCCUAUAUGACCAAGUAAUAUUACAAAAUGAAAAUCAACUCUCACAUCAGUUAAACUCAAUAAAAAUAACCAAGAGGAGCAACUUGGAUUGAGAUAAGUAGAAUCCAAGUUUGUUGUCUUGGUUAUUUUUAUUGUGUUAGUUGGUACUUACCUGACAAAGAAAUUGACAUGUCCUUAUGCUUUGCUUAUAAUAAUGCUACCUCUGAUAUUAAAUUUAAUGAAUUAAAUAACCAAAGCCUUACUGGUUAACAAGGCAGCAUAGUUAAUGUAACAGAGUUUGGGAGUCAUCUGGACAUGUGGAUUCAAAGAUUUUUAGUAACUAUGGAAUCAUGGAUGAAGUAUUUAUAAUCUCUGAGCCCCAGUUUUCUAUGUUAUAGGGUUUUGGUAAAACUGAAAUAAGACAGCAACAUGUGUUAAAUAGUGUCAUAGUGCCUGGCAUGUGAUCCUCAGGAUAACAACAUUACUUACUUUCCAAAUCCAGUGACAGCUUUUUGCAAAUAAUUUUAAAAUAAAUUCAGAAUGUCGAUUCAUAUAAAAAUGUAUUUUAGAGGCUUUGAUGCUAUUGGUCAAUGUUAAUCUCAUGCUUUAUGUAAUUAUUAAGUCAAUAACUAAAUGGAUGCUUAUUCCUUUUUUUGCCUAUAAGAAUUUGUCAUUAUUAUUCUAUAAUUAUUAAUAAUAUUUUAAAAUACUAUAGAAGUACCAUUUUAUAAGCCUGCUGUCAUAGAAAGAGAUAAAUAGCCGUGCACUUAAAUUACGUGUAAUCACUUUUUAAGGGGAUAUGAUAUGCCCCGAGUAACUUCAAGAUUGUGAUUGAUUGUGUAACUUUAGGAUAUAGUCAGUAUUCAACUUACUACUUUGUUGGGUUCCAUGAAUUCAUUUUAAUACUGUGGGCAGCAGAGCUAAGGAGGCCUCUAAUGAGUCCUGCCUGAUAUUCCUGCCUCUGUGUAAUUUCCCCUUUUACUACUGACUUUUCAUGAAUGAAAUAGGGCAGAGCAAUGAGAUAUCACCUCCAGUGUUAGGUUAUAAAAAGACUAUGGCUUCCAUCUCGGGCAUCCUUUCUCUCUUUCUUGCUGUCCGCGGAUUGCUUCACUCUGGAGGAAACCAUCUGCCACGUCAUGGAGCAGCCCAAGUGGCCGAGAGUCAAGACCUUCUAACAACCACAUGAGAGAGUUUGGAAGUGGAUCUUCUGAGACCUGCCAGCAGACACGGAGUGGGAUCAGGAGCAAAUCCUCUCCUAUUUGAGUCUUGAGGUGAUUGCAGCCCUGGCUGACAUUGAGUGCAGCCUCAGUAAGAGACCCUGAGCCAGAACCACUGAGCUAAUCUGCUCCUAGAUUCCUGCCAUGAAACUAUGAGAUAAUAAAUGUUUGCUGUCUUAACCCAGUAAGUUUCAGAAUAAUGUAUUAUGCAGUAGGAGGUAACAAAUACAGUCAGCGAGUUCUUUACACCUGUGGAAUGCUGCCACAUAAGGCACUUGUGUCCGAGAUUUAUAAUCCAUUGUUAGUUCCUGCCUGCUCCCGCUGUUCAUGAUAACAUCGUUGCCUGUUUUAAGGACUGUGUCUGGUAUUGUAUAAGCUUUGCUUCUAUCCCCGAAGCAUAGGAGUAGGAAUGUAUGAUAGUACAUGGAAAUCCACUGGGGUGAUUUAGGGUGAAGGUGGCAAAGGGGCAGCUGGGGAGUGGGCAGGGAUUGCUCUUUGUUAGUCAUAUUGAUGUAUGGAUGACUGGUGCUCGAGUGUGGUUCCGAGACGACCACCAGCGGGAGCAGCAUCUGGGACCUUAUUAAAAAUGCAAAUUCUUGAGCUCUACCUGAGAACGACUGAUUCAGAAAUUCUGGAUGUGGAAGCCAAAGACAAUGUGUUUUAACAAGCCCUCUAGGUGAUUCUGAUGUGAGCUAAAGUAUGAGAAUGUUGUAUAAAGGGCAAAUAGCAGUGCACAGCAGGUUCGAAUUCUCCGUCUGUCUGUCUUUCUCUCCAUAUAUAUUUGGUUCUGUUUCUGUGGAGAACCCUAAUGAGUACAUGUGUGACUCAAGAUAUCCCAGAUAUCACUAGCUUUUG